GCAUAUCAAUAAGCGGAGGAAAAGAAACUAACAAGGAUUCCCCUAGUAACUGCGAGUGAAGCGGGAAAAGCUCAAAUUUAAAAUCUGGCGGUCUCUGGCCGUCCGAGUUGUAAUCUAGAGAAGUGCUGCCCGCGCUGGACCGUGUACAAGUCUCCUGGAAUGGAGCGUCAUAGAGGGUGAGAAUCCCGUCUCUGACACGGACUACCAGGGCUUUGUGGUACGCUCUCAAAGAGUCGAGUUGUUUGGGAAUGCAGCUCAAAAUGGGUGGUAAAUUCCAUCUAAAGCUAAAUAUUGGCGAGAGACCGAUAGCGAACAAGUACCGUGAGGGAAAGAUGAAAAGAACUUUGGAAAGAGAGUUAAACAGUACGUGAAAUUGCUGAAAGGGAAACGCUUGAAGUCAGUCGCGUUGGCCGGGGAUCAGCCUCGCUUUUUUGCGUGGUGUACUUUCUGGUUGACGGGUCAGCAUCAAUUUUGACCGCUGGAAAAAGGCUUGGGGAAUGUGGCAGCUUCGGCUGUGUUAUAGCCCUUUGUCACAUACAGCGGUUGGGAUUGAGGAACUCAGCACGCCGCAAGGCCGGGUUUCGACCACGUUCGUGCUUAGGAUGCUGGCAUAAUGGCUUUAAGCGACCCGUCUGAUGAAACACGGACCAAGGAGUCUAACAUGCCUGCG
rnacentral:rRNA from 1 species